GUCUACGGCCAUGCCACCCUGAACUACCCGAUCCCGUCUGAUCUCGGAAGCUAAGCAGGGUCGGGCCUGGUUCAUACUUGAAUGGGAGACCACCUAGGAAGACCAGGUGCUGCAGGUG
rnacentral:rRNA from 1 species